UACGAACUGUGCGAACGUUAUUCGGAAUCACUGGGCUUACAGGGUGCGUAGGCGGCCUUUCAAGUCAGGUGUGAAAGCCCCCGGCUCAACCGGGGAACUGCGCUUGGAACUGAAAGGCUCGAGUCAGCUAGAGGUACACGGAACUUCCAGUGGAGCGGUGAAAUGUGUUGAUAUUGGAAGGAACACCGGCGGCGAAGGCGGCCCACUGGUCCGGUACUGACGCUGAGGUGCGAAAGCUAGGGGAGCAAACGGG
rnacentral:rRNA from 1 species